GACGAACGCUGGCGGCGUGCCUAAUACAUGCAAGUCGAGCGAAGUUUUUCUGGUGCUUGCACUAGAAAAACUUAGCGGCGAACGGGUGAGUAACACGUAAAGAACCUGCCUCAUAGACUGGGACAACUAUUGGAAACGAUGGCUAAUACCGGAUAACAGUAUUUCUCGCAUGAGAGAUAUUUAAAAGUUGGUUAUGCUAACACUAUGAGAUGGCUUUGCGGUGCAUUAGCUAGUUGGUGGGGUAAAGGCCCACCAAGGCGACGAUGCAUAGCCGACCUGAGAGGGUGAUCGGCCACACUGGGACUGAGACACGGCCCAGACUCCUACGGGAGGCAGCAGUAGGGAAUCUUCCGCAAUGGGCGAAAGCCUGACGGAGCAACGCCGCGUGAGUGAAGAAGGAUUUCGGUUCGUAAAGCUCUGUUGUUAGGGAAGAAUGGAUAUGUAGUAACUAUACAUGUAAGAGACGGUACCUAACCAGAAAGCCACGGCUAACUACGUG
rnacentral:rRNA from 1 species